AAUUACUGACCUAAAACACAGACACGUAAACCGAUAAAAGAUCCAGAGCAAAAGUCAAAACCGUGCUUCGGUUUUCCUAUUGAAAUAAUAGAUACAUACAUUUAAUUGGUUUGACCAUGUUGGCAUUUGAAUCUAAAGGUUAUCCAGAGAGAUGUUUAUGUAUAUCGCAGACUUUGGGUUUAAAACUCAAUGGAAAGGUGAUACAAUAGAGCCAACCCGUCAGUUAUUUGUCUUGCGGGUUAACUGUUUGGGUUUUGCUGAACCGGGAAUGCGACCGUACGUGACAUGGGAAUGCGACCAUACGUGCACGCGGGGAUAUAAACAACGGAUGUGUUGUACAUAAGAUCUUUAUCAGCUUUCGUUGAAGCUGUUAAUCAGCUUGGCGGUAGUGAACGUGCCUAAGCUUUCCUCUUCUCUUUGUUCCUGAAAUUAAUAUCCGAAGGCUAUUAUAACUGUAAGCAGUGGCGCUUACCAUUCUCUUGGAUUUUUUCUUUCCACCAUAGGAGCCACGCCUAUGGCUGUUCUGAAUCUCUUUAAUAACCCUGGCUUGACCAGUUUAACAAUAACCAUGGCUUGGCUGUUUUUCUUUUUUUUCCUGUAUUUCAUGUUUCUCUGCUACAGAUAGCUCCUUUCUCAUUUUCUACUUUCUUUAUAUUUUCUUACGAACAGAAAUACAGAAAGGAAAAGUGUAAGCAGGAGAGUUCAGAAGCUACCGGCAUAUACUUUCACAGAAUAGUACUUAUGUGCUUUCCUGAGCUAUAAACCACACAUUCCUCUAGAAAAUUAAUCACUCCUUACAGAGGCUAAUAUCUCUAAGGCAACAUGUUAGAGAGGGACAAAGGGACCCCCGUAUCUUUAUAUAAAAUAUUGUUCUUAGUUUCACAGGACAGCCUCAAGAGAAGAAGAUGACACCUAUCGAAGAAAUCAAAUAUCUUGACAUGUAAACGAGCAUUGAGAUCGCAUAAUCUUUAAGGCUGAAAAUUGAAGUUCAGAAAUGCCUCCCAUUUGCAGCUCGAGGUAAUGGUUUCACCUGCAUAGCCGCUAAAAACUAUCAUUUUUUGCCUCCUUUCUAACCAAAAAGAGUAUUAGUACUACAUAUCAUGCCUACUGUCUGAUGUUGUUUUAGUUUGUCUCAUAUGAGAGAGAGAUUUUCGAUGUAUACAUAUAUAAUACUUGGGCAAAGGUUGUAUGUGUUUUGAUUGAAGAUGAACUUGCAACGGUGUAAGCAGGGGAUUAGCAAAGGCCCCCGUUAAUGGAUUGUUGUUACCUUUUAUACCAAGUCAUGUUCCAUCCGGUAAAAGAGGAACCGGGUUAUAUUGUGGAAAAGGUUGCAGAAUUAGCAAUCAAUGAAUUUUUAGAUGCAACCUGCAAGUCCUCUCUUUUGGAUUUUUUAUUAAUCAUAACUGAUACUAUGAGGUCUUAGAGGGUGCGUGAGAAUGGAACGGUUUCAGAUGUCUACGAGGGAAGCUACUCCGGUUCGUUUAGACCAGCUACUAGAGCGGAUCUAGGUUGAACCAGAACGUGACCUCGUGAUCGUCCUUCCUUGGCCAGGAAGUCCGCACGGGUAUUGUUGUCACGAGGUACGUACGAGAAUUCAACAUCAUGAAAACGAGAGAAAAGAAAUUUAAUAUCGUCUAAGUCCGGUGCUAAGGCAGGCCAUUCUUCAUCUCUACGAGUGAGGUUUAUCAGCUGUUGACAAUCAGAGCCGAAGCUAACCCCAUCAAAGCCUUUUCGCGGGCUUCUGUCAUCGCCCAAAUAAGUCCGUUAGCUUCUGUGUGAAUCGGAGCUUUUGCACGAGGGGCACACUUUUGUCCCUGCAUUAGCACAAUAUCACCUUCUGUUAAUACGAAGCCCAUACCCAUCCAUUCGUCCUUAUCAGACCAGGAGCCAUCUACUUCACACCUGAACCGCUUUCCCGCGUCAGGCGGAACUUGGGUAGGCCUCUGUUCUUGAUUUGAAUAAAUUUAAAUAUAUAAUGUAUCCUCCAAGUUUCUCUUUUCUCGGAUGUUUCACUAAUUUAUGAACUUAUUUCUUAAAGUAAAUAACCUUUAACUUUUUAAAAUUAAUGCAUUAAUCAAAAGCAAAGGAAUGUGAGAUUAAAUUUAUUAAAGAAUGACAACACUAUAUAUGCAAAAAUACCACCCUAAUAAUUUUGGUUUAUCAUAUUGACUAUUAUAAAAAGUAAAUAUGAUAAAC